rnacentral:rRNA from 1 species
CCUACGGGAGGCAGCAGUGGGGGAUAUUGCACAAUGGGGGAAACCCUGAUGCAGCGACGCCGCGUGGGUGAAGAAGUAUUUCGGUAUGUAAAGCCCUAUCAGCAGGGAAGAAAGAAGACGGUACCUGACUAAGAAGCCCCGGCUAACUACGUGCCAGCAGCCGCGGUAAUACGUAGGGGGCGAGCGUUAUCCGGAUUCACUGGGUGUAAAGGGAGCGUAGACGGCCGUGCAAGCCAGGAGUGAAAGCCCGGGGCCCAACCCCGGGACUGCUCUUGGAACUGUGCGGCUGGAGUGCGGGAGGGGCAGGCGGAAGUCCUGGUGGAGCGGUGAAAUGCGUAGAUAUCAGGAGGAACACCGGCGGCGAAGGCGGCCUGCUGGACCGCGACUGACGUUGAGGCUCGAAAGCGUGGGGAGCGAACAGGAUUAGAUACCCGGGUAGUC